UAAAUUAGGAUUAGAUACCCUAUUAUUAUUAAUCAAUAUUGAGUUUGGAGAGUAAAAGCCUAUAGCUUAAAAACCAAAGAAUAUGGCGGUGUCUUAUUCGAUCAGGGGAACCUGUACCUUAAUUCGAUAGUCCACGGGUUCUAUUCCUAAAUUUGAAAUAUCAGCUUGUGUACUGCCGAAUUUAUAGGCUUUAAAAGAUUGUCUAUAAAAAUAUUUUUAAAAAAUAAUAAAUCAGGUCCAAGUGCAGUCUAUGUUUAGGUGGGAUUGGGUUACAUUUAUUUUAAGAUUCAAUUAAUUUUAUUUUAAUAAAAAAAAUUAUGAGAAGGAUUUGAAAGUAAUUAAAUUUACUAAUUUAAUGAAUUUGAUUCUAAGACAUGCACACAUCGCCCGUCGCUCUA
rnacentral:rRNA from 1 species